AUUCGCGGCAACGCGCGCGUUGUCCUGACAACAAGGAUUCACAAACAAACGCAGUUUCUUAACGGUCGUUUAGCAAUCUUUUGUCCGUUUUGUCUCCUUAUUUCGGUCGCGAAAUGAAGAUAAAAUACGUGUUUGUUGAUAUAUUAACUGUAAAUGCCAUUCACAUAUGAACACUAACGUACCACAGUUAAAAUAAAAAGUCACGGUCAAAGGACAAAAGAGAGGGCUACGUUUUUUGGAGAAGCUGGACCAUUUUGACCUUAUCAUCUUCAGCGGUAUAAUUCAGCGAAAUCAAUGAUGUGCAGGGGUUUAAAAAGUACAGCUUGGGAAAUAUAAAGAUGAUGGUUAUUUUAAAGAAGAAGCCUGACACAUUGGAGACUUAACCAUCUUCAAAGGACAAUGCUACAAUUCAAGGAAGUCGACAGUUGUCUCAAUUAUACAGUUUUGCCUUUUUUUGUACCAUAGUCUAAGUUUGUAUUUUGAUUGCCUAGAAGGUAUUUCUUAUUAAAGAAAAUAUAUAUAUAUAUAUAUAUAUAUAUAUAUAUAUAUAUAUUUUUUUUUUUUUUUUUUCUUUUUUUAUAUAUAUAUUAU
ensembl:processed_transcript